rnacentral:piRNA from 1 species
UCUCUUAAUGGAAGAGAACGGUCCGGUUU